rnacentral:rRNA from 1 species
UACGAAGGGGGCUAGCGUUGCUCGGAAUCACUGGGCGUAAAGCGCACGUAGGCGGGUUCUUAAGUCAGGGGUGAAAUCCUGGAGCUCAACUCCAGAACUGCCUUUGAUACUGGGGAGCUCGAGUCCGGAAGAGGUGAGUGGAACUCCGAGUGUAGAGGUGAAAUUCGUAGAUAUUCGGAAGAACACCAGUGGCGAAGGCGACUCACUGGACAUCUGUUGACGCUGAGGUGCGAAAGCGUGGGGAGCAAACAGG